UACGGAGGGUGCGAGCGUUGUUCGGAAUCACUGGGCGUAAAGGGUGCGUAGGCGGCCGGGUAAGUCUGAUGUGAAAUCUUGCGGCUCAACCGCGAAACUGCAUUGGAUACUAUUCGGCUUGAGGGUUGGAGGGGGGACUGGAAUUCUCGGUGUAGCAGUGAAAUGCGUAGAUAUCGAGAGGAACACCAGUGGCGAAGGCGAGUCCCUGGACAACUCCUGACGCUGAGGCACGAAAGCUAGGGGAGCAAACGGG
rnacentral:rRNA from 1 species